rnacentral:rRNA from 1 species
UUCCGGUUGAUCCCGCCGGACCCGACUGCUAUUUGGGUGAGGAUAAGCCAUGCGAGUUGAAUGGGAAACCUAAAAAUCCCAUGGCAAACUGCUCAGUAACACAUGAUCAACUUACCCUAUAGAGGAAAAUAACCUCGGGAAACUGAGGAUAGUGUUCCAUAGUUGAAUCGGCUUGGAAAAGUUUUUCAAUAAAAGGGAUAAGGAAAAUGGUUCUUAUCUGCUAUAGGAUAGGAUCGUGCUCGAUUAUGGGUGUUGGUGAGGUAAAGGCUCACCAAGCCGAUAAUCGAUAGGGGCCGUGAGAGCGGGAGCCCCGAGAUGGGUACUGAGACAACGACCCAGGCCUUACGAGGCGCAGCAGGCGCGAAACCUCCGCAAUACACGAAAGUGUGACGGGGUUACCCAAAGUGUUCUAUUUAGAACUGUGGUAGGUGAGUAAUGUCCCCUACUAGAAAGGAGAGGGCAAGGCUGGUGCCAGCCGCCGCGGUAAAACCAGCUCUUCAAGUGGUCGGGAUAAUUAUUGGGCUUAAAGUGUCCGUAGCCGGUUUAGUAAGUUCCUGGUAAAAUCGGGUAGCUUAACUAUCUAUAUGCUAGGAAUACUGCUAUACUAGAGGGCGGGAGAGGUCUGAGGUACUACAGGGGUAGGGGUGAAAUCUUAUAAUCCUUGUAGGACCACCAGUGGCGAAGGCGUCAGACUGGAACGCGCCUGACGGUGAGGGACGAAAGCCAGGGGAGCGAACCGGAUUAGAUACCCGGAUAGUCCUGGCCGUAAACGAUGCAUACUAGGUGAUGGCACGGCCAUGAGCCGUGUCAGUACCGUAGGGAAACCGUUAAGUGUGCCGCCUGGGAAGUACGGUCGCAAGGCUAAAACUUAAAGGAAUUGGCGGGGGAGCACCACAAGGGGUGAAGCCUGCGGUUCAAUUGAUUCAACGCCGGAAAUCACUAGUGCGGCC